CACGUAGGGCGCGAGCGUUGUCCGGAAUUAUUGGGCGUAAAGAGCUCGUAGGCGCCUGUUGCGUCCGCUGUGAAAGCCCGGGGCUUAACCCCGGUCGUGCAGUGGAUACGGGCAGGCUAGAGGUAGGUAGGGGAGAAUGGAAUUCCCGGUGUAGAGGUGAAAUUCGUAGAUAUUGGGAAGAACACCGGUGGCGAAGGCGGCUCACUGGCUCGUAACUGACGCUCAUGCACGACAGCGUGGGGAGUCAAACAGG
rnacentral:rRNA from 1 species